rnacentral:misc_RNA from 1 species
UCAACCAUCAGGCCUAGCUUGUCGUUGGACCCCUUUGCAGCUGAAAUAUGCAGCAGGUCCGAAAGAUAAUGACGGCGUCGUGUUUGACCCUAGAUGCAACGAGCUUUUUAUAGCACGCAUUGAAGUGGUCGGCCGACCCGGUCUUUAACCAUCAUUUUCUAA